ensembl:lncRNA
UUCAAUUACUGUCAAUAUGUUUUGUUAUUAGUUUUAUUUAAGUAUUUACUAUUGACUGUUCAAUGCAGAGUUUUGCAUGUUGUGUGUGUGUGUGCGCAUGGGUGGGUGUGUGUGUGUGUGUGUGUGAGAGAGAGAGAGAGAGAGAGAGAGAGAGAGAGAGAGAGAGUGUCACACACAGUGGAGUCAGCUGUCUUAACAUCCAUAGCUUGUGCUCCUCAAACACAUAAUAGCUUCAUCACUGUGUCUGUCACGAAGUUAGUACACUUUCAUGACUGUUUCUUAAAACACUUAGAUCACCUAGUUUACCCAAAAAUGAAAAUUCUGUCAUCAAUUACUCACUCUGUCAUCAAUUACUCAAAAUUAAGAUAUUUUAUGAUGAAAUCUGAGAGCUUUCUGACGCUCCAUAGACAGCAGCGCAACUGAACUUUCAAGGCCCAGAAAGAUAGUAAGGACAACGUUGGUUCAACCAUAAUGUUACGAAGCUAUGAGAAUAAAUUUUGUGAGCAAAGAAAACAAAAAUAACGAAAAGUAUUCUUUGUGCACAAAAAGUAUUCUCGUAGCUUCAUAAAAUUAAGGUUGAAGCACUGAUGUCACAGUGAUUUAACAGUAUCCUUGCUACCUUUCUGGGCCUUGAACAUGGUAGUUGCAUUGUGGUCUAUGAGAGGGUCAGAAAAUUCUCGGGUAUCAUAAAAAAUAACUUUUUAUGGGUUUGAAAAGACAUGAGGCUGAGUAAUUAAUGACAGAAUUUCCUUUUUGGGUGAACAAUCCCCACUUUUAAAACUAUAUAACUAUUAAAUAAAGUUUUACAUUAUUCAGUAUUACAUUUCAAAUAUAUAAUGUACUAAAAUGACCUUAUAAUUAUAAGUGUUUUAAAUAGAAAUUAGAGCAAUAAAAUAUAUUUUAGGUUACUAUUUAUGCUUGUCAGUUCAUUCAGUACUUUUGGAGAAUUAUGAAAUGAUGUAUUAAGAAGUACUACUUGAGAGCACUCAAAUUAGCUAAUUCUAUUUAUUAUAAAUGUAAACUAUAAUACAGAUCAAUUUAAUUGUAAAUAACAAUGUUGAAUGAACAACACCAGUUUUGACAGAUUAAUUACCAUCAUGAUGGUUAAAUGGCUGAUUUGUGAUGGUGUGUUUCUGUCAUCACAGUUGCUUAAGCAAUCAAAACCAACAAAAGAGCAAUAAUAUGCAAGUGUUUUGUAUAUGCAAGCUGUAAAAAUGAUAUUAUCACACAAUAUUAUUAAACACAUUGUAUCAUUUUAUUCAUUCAAUCAAAAAUGUAUACAUUAGAUUAGUUAGCUGUAUAGCAAUCUUUUUAAUUUAGUGAACAAGAAACAAAACAGUCAUCUAGCAAAACUUUGGGACAGGUAAAGUUUGACUUUUCGAGAUACAGGGUAUAAAAGUAGUUUGUAGAAUGUUUUAAACCAUAGGAAAUUGUAUUGAGGUAAUUGGUGGUUUCCUGCAGAUUGAUUAGAUGAUCUGAAAUCUUGAUUUAUCCAUCACUUGUUUUUAAAAACAUUCGAUUUUCAGACAUCACUGCUGCAAUCAGAGAAAGCAUAGCUUACCAAGUUAGCGAGGAAAAUAAAGUGUGAUUAUUUUAAUUAUUUCCUCACUUUUAUUCCACAUAAAUGUCUUUUCUAUUACAAGAAGUAGCAUUAUAAAUUAUCAGUGGAAAUUCCCUGUAGUAAAAACAGAAAGCCCUUUAAUAUAAGUGAAAACUGAUAGUUAUCCUGUCAACUGUAUUUCAAUCAGGACAGCUUGCUCGAGGGUGAACAGCUUUAUUAACAACUACAUCUGCGGUGGAAAUCCCCAUCAGACUG